rnacentral:rRNA from 1 species
AGAGCGAACGCUGGCGGCAGGCCUAAUACAUGCAAGUCGAACGCACCUUCGGGUGAGUGGCGGACGGGUGAGUAACACGUGGGAACGUGCCUUUUGGUUCGGAAUAAUCCGGGGAAACCUGGCCUAAUACCGGAUGUGCCCCCUCCUUUAACCAGGGGGGUGGGAAAGAUUUAUCGCCAUUAGAGCGGCCCGCGUCUGAUUAGCUUGUUGGUGAGGUAAAGGCUCACCAAGGCUACGAUCAGUAGCUGGUCUGAGAGGAUGAUCAGCCACACUGGGACUGAGACACGGCCCAGACUCCUACGGGAGGCAGCAGUAGGGAAUCUUGCGCAAUGGGCGAAAGCCUGACGCAGCCAUGCCGCGUGAAUGAUGAAGGUCUUAGGAUUGUAAAAUUCUUUCAGCGGGAAGAUAAUGACUGUACCCGCAGAAGAAGCUCCGGCUAACUUCGCGCCAGCAGCCGC